rnacentral:rRNA from 1 species
CCUACGGGAGGCAGCAGUGGGGAAUAUUGGACAAUGGGCGCAGGCCUGAUCCAGCCAUGCCGCGUGUGUGAAGAAGGCCUUCGGGUUGUAAAGCACUUUUAUCCGGAAAGAAAAGCUUUGGGUUAAUACCCUGAAGUCAUGACGGUACCGGAAGAAUAAGCACCGGCUAACUUCGUGCCAGCAGCCGCGGUAAUACGAAGGGUGCAAGCGUUACUCGGAAUUACUGGGCGUAAAGCGUGCGUAGGUGGUUUGUUAAGUCUGAUGUGAAAGCCCUAGGCUCAACCUGGGAAUUGCAUUGGAUACUGGCAGGCUAGAGUGCGGUAGAGGAUAGUGGAAUUCCCGGUGUAGCAGUGAAAUGCGUAGAGAUCGGGAGGAACAUCUGUGGCGAAGGCGACUAUCUGGGCCAGCACUGACACUGAGGCACGAAAGCGUGGGGAGCAAACAGGAUUAGAUACCCUGGUAGUCCACGCCCUAAACGAUGCGAACUGGAUGUUGGGUGCAACUAGGCACUCAGUAUCGAAGCUAACGCGUUAAGUUCGCCGCCUGGGGAGUACGGUCGCAAGACUGAAACUCAAAUGAAUUGACGG